CCUACGGGGGGCAGCAGUGGGGGAUAUUGCACAAUGGGGGAAACCCUGAUGCAGCGACGCCGCGUGGGUGAAGAAGCGCCUCGGCGCGUAAAGCCCUGUCAGCAGGGAAGAAAAUGACGGUACCUGAAGAAGAAGCCCCGGCAAACUACGUGCCAGCAGCCGCGGUAAUACGUAGGGGGCAAGCGUUAUCCGGAUUUACUGGGUGUAAAGGGGGCGCAGAUGGCGGUGCAAGCCAGGAGUGAAAGCCCGGGGCCCAACCCCGGGACUGCUCUUGGAACUGCGUGGCUAGAGUGCAGGAGGGGCAGGCGGAAUUCCUGGUGUAGCGGUGAAAUGCGUAGAUAUCAGGAGGAACACCGGUGGCGAAGGCGGCCUGCUGGACUGCAACUGACGUUGAGGCCCGAAAGCGUGGGGAGCAAACAGGAUUAGAUACCCUUGUAGUC
rnacentral:rRNA from 1 species